AACGAACGCUGGCGGCAGGCUUAACACAUGCAAGUCGAGCGCCUCGCAAGAGGAGCGGCAGACGGGUGAGUAACGCGUGGGAACGUACCCUUAUCUUCGGAAUAGCUCUGGGAAACUGGAAGUAAUACCGAAUGUGCCCUUAGGGGGAAAGAUUUAUCGGAUAAGGAUCGGCCCGCGUUGGAUUAGCUAGUUGGUGGGGUAAAGGCCUACCAAGGCGACGAUCCAUAGCUGGUCUGAGAGGAUGAUCAGCCACAUUGGGACUGAGACACGGCCCAAACUCCUACGGGAGGCAGCAGUGGGGAAUAUUGGACAAUGGGCGCAAGCCUGAUCCAGCCAUGCCGCGUGAGUGAUGAAGGCCUUAGGGUUGUAAAGCUCUUUCACCGGAGAAGAUAAUGACGGUAUCCGGAGAAGGAGCCCCGGCUAACUUCGUG
rnacentral:rRNA from 1 species